GGGUUGUGAGGUUAAGCGACUAAGCGUACACGGUGGAUGCCCUGGCAGUCAGAGGCGAUGAAGGACGUGCUAAUCUGCGAUAAGCGUCGGUAAGGUGAUAUGAACCGUUAUAACCGGCGAUUUCCGAAUGGGGAAACCCAGUGUGAUUCGUCACACUAUCAUUAACUGAAUCCAUAGGUUAAUGAGGCGAACCGGGGGAACUGAAACAUCUAAGUACCCCGAGGAAAAGAAAUCAACCGAGAUUCCCCCAGUAGCGGCGAGCGAACGGGGAGCAGCCCAGAGCCUGAAUCAGUGUGUGUGUUAGUGGAAGCGUCUGGAAAGGCGCGCGAUACAGGGUGACAGCCCCGUACACAAAAAUGCACAUACUGUGAGCUCGAUGAGUAGGGCGGGACACGUGGUAUCCUGUCUGAAUAUGGGGGGACCAUCCUCCAAGGCUAAAUACUCCUGACUGACCGAUAGUGAACCAGUACCGUGAGGGAAAGGCGAAAAGAACCCCGGCGAGGGGAGUGAAAAAGAACCUGAAACCGUGUACGUACAAGCAGUGGGAGCACGCUUAGGCGUGUGACUGCGUACCUUUUGUAUAAUGGGUCAGCGACUUAUAUUCUGUAGCAAGGUUAACCGAAUAGGGGAGCCGAAGGGAAACCGAGUCUUAACUGGGCGUUAAGUUGCAGGGUAUAGACCCGAAACCCGGUGAUCUAGCCAUGGGCAGGUUGAAGGUUGGGUAACACUAACUGGAGGACCGAACCGACUAAUGUUGAAAAAUUAGCGGAUGACUUGUGGCUGGGGGUGAAAGGCCAAUCAAACCGGGAGAUAGCUGGUUCUCCCCGAAAGCUAUUUAGGUAGCGCCUCGUGAAUUCAUCUCCGGGGGUAGAGCACUGUUUCGGCAAGGGGGUCAUCCCGACUUACCAACCCGAUGCAAACUGCGAAUACCGGAGAAUGUUAUCACGGGAGACACACGGCGGGUGCUAACGUCCGUCGUGAAGAGGGAAACAACCCAGACCGCCAGCUAAGGUCCCAAAGUCAUGGUUAAGUGGGAAACGAUGUGGGAAGGCCCAGACAGCCAGGAUGUUGGCUUAGAAGCAGCCAUCAUUUAAAGAAAGCGUAAUAGCUCACUGGUCGAGUCGGCCUGCGCGGAAGAUGUAACGGGGCUAAACCAUGCACCGAAGCUGCGGCAGCGACGCUGAUGCGUUGUUGGGUAGGGGAGCGUUCUGUAAGCCUGUGAAGGUGUGCUGUGAGGCAUGCUGGAGGUAUCAGAAGUGCGAAUGCUGACAUAAGUAACGAUAAAGCGGGUGAAAAGCCCGCUCGCCGGAAGACCAAGGGUUCCUGUCCAACGUUAAUCGGGGCAGGGUGAGUCGACCCCUAAGGCGAGGCCGAAAGGCGUAGUCGAUGGGAAACAGGUUAAUAUUCCUGUACUUGGUGUUACUGCGAAGGGGGGACGGAGAAGGCUAUGUUGGCCGGGCGACGGUUGUCCCGGUUUAAGCGUGUAGGCUGGUUUUCCAGGCAAAUCCGGAAAAUCAAGGCUGAGGCGUGAUGACGAGGCACUACGGUGCUGAAGCAACAAAUGCCCUGCUUCCAGGAAAAGCCUCUAAGCAUCAGGUAACAUCAAAUCGUACCCCAAACCGACACAGGUGGUCAGGUAGAGAAUACCAAGGCGCUUGAGAGAACUCGGGUGAAGGAACUAGGCAAAAUGGUGCCGUAACUUCGGGAGAAGGCACGCUGAUAUGUAGGUGAAGUCCCUCGCGGAUGGAGCUGAAAUCAGUCGAAGAUACCAGCUGGCUGCAACUGUUUAUUAAAAACACAGCACUGUGCAAACACGAAAGUGGACGUAUACGGUGUGACGCCUGCCCGGUGCCGGAAGGUUAAUUGAUGGGGUCAGCGCAAGCGAAGCUCUUGAUCGAAGCCCCGGUAAACGGCGGCCGUAACUAUAACGGUCCUAAGGUAGCGAAAUUCCUUGUCGGGUAAGUUCCGACCUGCACGAAUGGCGUAAUGAUGGCCAGGCUGUCUCCACCCGAGACUCAGUGAAAUUGAACUCGCUGUGAAGAUGCAGUGUACCCGCGGCAAGACGGAAAGACCCCGUGAACCUUUACUAUAGCUUGACACUGAACAUUGAGCCUUGAUGUGUAGGAUAGGUGGGAGGCUUUGAAGUGUGGACGCCAGUCUGCAUGGAGCCGGCCUUGAAAUACCACCCUUUAAUGUUUGAUGUUCUAACGUUGACCCGU
rnacentral:rRNA from 1 species